ensembl:lincRNA
AUGAGCUGUGUUUCCCACAGCAGUUCAGGGCUGGGUGCCCGCCUGCGGUCCCAUCCCAAGGAGCUCCCUGCCUUCAGCCCUGUCCAGCUCUCUUCAGCUGCUGCAGACCUGAGACCACCUCACCCUGACUUCCCUUUUUCAAACUCCCUAGGGCCUUCUGCAGGAUGUCCUCCUCCCUGCAGUCUCAAGUGCUCAGCUGUGCUUGGUGGAUACAUUCUCCUGCCAGUCCUUCAGAUGAAAGGGCAGCAGGGAAGGAGAUUCGUGCUGGAUUCGGAGCUGUUCGUGUGGUACAGAGAGCCUGGAUGCUGGGCCCAGAGAAAGGCAGGAAAUUCCCAAGUGGCCCAGAUGACUCUGACAUCUGAAGAUGCCCAAGUCCCUCAUAAAGGAAGGGUGGCAUCCGCCUGUGACUGCCCACAACCUCUGCACGCUUCCGGUAACCUCCAUGUGAACGUGAUACUUAAUUCAAGGUCAAUGCCCUGGCAGUAUUUGUUACACUUUAUUUUAUUGUUACUUUAUUGUUAUACUUUGUUACACUUAUUGUUAGGGAGUGCACACAGCGUAAAGUACAGUCUCAUAUAUAUUUAGUACAGACAUAUUUUACCCCAAACAGUUUUCAAUCCAUGGUUGGUUGAAUUCCUGGUUGUGGAACAAGCCAGGACCCAGUCAGUCUUCACUUUAACAGGAGCCACAGAAAUAACUGAAUUUUCAGAUUAGGCAGCGUGAUGUGGUAUGAGGGGCUCUGGAAAAGGAACUCUCGGAAAGCCUCAGGUCACACUGGGCAGGAGAUCACAGCGCGACAGGAGGGACCAGGACUCGCCGACGCAGGGAUCUCCAGGCCACCACUGAAGACCUAGGAGACUCAGCCGAGGUAGGGAAGGGGCAGAGGAGGAUCAGCACCUGGCAGGUGCUGAGGUUGUGAGCCCAGGGACUUGAUGCCGGGCAGUGAUACACGUCCAAGGAUUGGGGGAGUUUCAGGAAAGUGCUGUUCCCCAAGAAAAGAGAGAGCACCCUGUGGACCAAGGUUCCUUUCCUGCCUUUCCUGUAGCCACCGGGCUGCUGCGUAAGGACAUGGCGCUUGAAGCCUGAGAACCACUGCAGCCAGGAGGAGAAGAAUCAAGAAAAUCGUGACUCUGGCUGGCGUGUGCUGCCAGCACCGGCCCGCUGGACGGCCCAGCACUGCCUGCGUCCUCACACACUGUGCUGCGGGCUGACUGUGUGUCUUCAGGAGCUAGGUGCUCACCAUACCAUUACCUUUAGUCAGCUGUUUCCCACGGACAUACUUUAUUGCUAUAACAGAAAUGCACACAGUCCUCCUGGUUCAGGUUUCCUCAGUUACGCAGUCAUCAAAGCACCACGUCCAGGGUCACUUCUAUCACAAUUACGGCUGUGUAAUUUACCUCUAAAUGAGUACUUUAGUACCUGCUUCCCUUGCUCUGGAGUAAAUUCCACAAAAAUAAAGAAAAUCUGGAACUCAGCUCUUCCCCCAGUUCUUUUUUUUUUUUUUUUUGGUACUGGGAAUCGAACUCAGGACCUUGCACUUGCCAGGCAGGUGCUUAUCCCACUAAGCUAUAUCCCCGGCAUUCCCCCAGUUCUUGACACACAGCCCAAUCAUGUCUUGCCCCCAAAAAUGCAGACAUGAGUUUUGUGAAUGAGCUAACCAGUUGUUCUAUUCUUUUACUAACAUUUCUUAGAAAGUGGUACCAAAUACUAGUGCAGGACAAAUUCUCACUUACAGGCACAGGCAGCCUUAAGUGUACAUAGGAAAAUUGCUCCCAGAACUGCAGUAAUGUUUAGCACAUUACCAAGAGCUCUGAACAGAUAUCUCCAAACUUUCAGUGUUCAAAAAACAAGUGAUCAAUGCAGGGUACAGCAAUCGCUCAUGUUUGAUUGAUUGUCUCUGAAGGUGAAAAAUACGAACAGGCUGAAAGGAAAACUGCACCAAGGAGCAAUCGAUCUGAUCUAACUAUUCCGACAGCAGCCAAGACGUCUAGGUAGGAAGAGGAAUCAGAGCGCCAGCUGCUCAGAGAGCAGACACUGGGACACAGACGCCAUCAUGAACUUGUUCUGGUCGUGUCUUAUGGAGACACUGAAUCUACCAGUCACCCAAUCCCAGAUGGAGCGAAAGUAAUUGAUAAACAGGAAACGUUCAGUUCAUUUCCGAAAGUUUAACUUUUGCCCACAAGCGGAUUAUCAUCAAUGAAAUAUUUUGCUUCACUUUCCAAAGGGAAGGAUCCAAGAUAUCACACAAAAGUAGUAAAAAUACCGUUGUGAAGGAAACAGAGCAGUGAGAUAUACUGAAUACCUACUUUCUGAUACUUUACUAGCUGCAGUUAAAAAUACCGUUGUGAAGGAAACAGAGCAGUGAGAUAUAUUGAAUACCUACUUUCUGAUACUUUACUAGCUGCAGUUAUCUCUGCUUUCCAUGUACAUUUUGCUCUACCAAUGUUACAUGCAGGGACACCAGGGCCCUUAAUUAUGCUGAAGAUACCCCAGGCUGUGAAGAGUGAGCAGAGUUGCAUGUGUGCUUAGGAAUGUUGGUCUCCAAAAUUCUCACUUUGAGUCAAUUUCAUCCUACAUACCUGUUCCUGGGGCUGGGAGGAGCUUCCCAAAGAGUGUGUUGAAAUAGUGUUGGAAGGAUGAGGUCUAACCUCUGAGGAAGAGAUGCCUAUAAUUGGUUAUUAAGGUAUUUGCUGUGCACAAUUUAGACUCCAAGUGAGCCAAACUCAGCUGUGUGUGAUCCAAAGUUAUAUUAAAGCGAUGUUUGUCCAUGCACUGAAAAUAAUGGAUAUCUGCUAUUACCAACACCCAGUGUGCACCCCCCUUUUCCUAGAAACUGUACCUGAACACCCUCGAGAUUCCAGCCAAGAGAACCAAAGCAUUUCCUUCCACCGCAGUGGAGCUCACUCCCUCCAAGGCUGGGGGUGACACCACUAGAGUCAAAUGAAUCCAACUCCCUGGUCUCAGGGAAGGACAAUGAUCCCACCACAACAAACACAGCUGGAGCUGCUAGAAGCCCCUUCCCCAGUAUGGAAAUCUGUGACAGAGCUGAGGUGGAGAAUGUGUCAAGGGACAGAGACCAAGCAGACUUGGUGUUGAAACUUGAUCAUGCUCUGCCUGAAGGCAGCUGUUCCACUAAAGGGUUGUGUAAGCCAGGAAGCCUCAUGGCUCCAGCCAUUUUGACAUGGGUUUUGUGUACCAUGUGCAACUAUACUGAACAAAGGACAGAAACAGGGGUCAUUCUUCUGGUACCCGGUAUGCGGAUUACUUUUAGUUAUCUGUGGUACACAUGAAGUGGUCUUGCAUUAAUCAUCUAUGUUCUUUUCAUCAAAAUCUAGAAGCUGCUCUAACAGAAUGAAAGUUUGUGGGUAAUGAGGAAAGUGGACAUGGACAUGCAUAAUGCUAGCUCUUCAUGACUAUCCCAAUGUUAUAGCCCCUCAGUGCAGCAGGUGCUCUGGGAUCCAUAGAGGAGCAGUCAGCAUUGACCUCCACUGCCUGCAGCAAGGACCUUAGUAACUUGUCUCUGUUAACUUCUCUGACUUUCCUGUUUCACUUUCCUGAUCCUUCAUUCUGGGACCCUUUCCAACCUCACCUGUCUUCACCUAAGUCUUUAUCUCUACCUCAAGGUCCUCAUGACUGAGCUGCAGCCUGUGCUUGAAAUAUUAGGAAACAGAGGGAAGAUCAGACAAAUGCAAAACACCACUGAUACAACAGUAUGAAUUGGUCAGUGUCCCAUAAAACAACAGGGAGACAGGAGACGACCUCCCUCUUGGACAACCA